UAAAUCAUUAGACUAACCACUAUAAAAUUGUUAUUCCCUAGAGAAACGGAUUCCAAACCUCUUUGAACUUCAUCCUAUGUUAUUACAUGAUUCAACUAUGUAUUAAAACAGAAUUGUCAUAUUUUUUUGAAUUUUUCUCAAAAUCUAUGUGUUAACCCCUACGGAAAUAUUGAGUUUUCGGUAAAUGCUCUAUAUAUUGAAGCCUAUAAUCUUUAAAUUUGUUUUAAAAUUUAAAACCACAUUAUACAUUAGUAUUAAUGUAUGAUAAUCUCCUUUUCAUGGUACAUGGACAUCAUUCUAAUUUUUUAUCCAUUAAUUUAGCAAAACUGCAAAUACUCCCUACAUCAUUAGACUAACCACUAUAAAAUUGCUAUUCCCUAGAGAAACGGAGACAACAAAGGUUCAAAACCUCUUUGAACUUUAUCAUAUGUUAUUACAUGAUUCAACUAUGCAUUAAAACAGUAUUGUCAAAAUUUUUGAAUUUUUCUCAAAAUCUAUGUGUACCCCCCUACGAAAAUAGUGAGUUUUCGGUAAAUGAUCUAUAUAUGAAGCCUAUAAUCUUUUAAUUCGUUUUAAAAUUUAUAACCACAUUAUACAUUUGUAUUAAUUUAUGAUAAACUCUUUUUCAUGGUACAUGG
rnacentral:lncRNA from 1 species